GACAGGUAUGAACAUCCCAUACAUGGGAAAAAUUUAAUGUGCCCAAGGCAGCAAGAAUGAACAAUAAUAUCAUUCUUGUUAUGUAGUAUUGAUCAAUACAUGGUACAACAGGCUGAUCACCCCCGUACCCGUAAGUUAUGACGGUAUACAGAUGAAGUUCUGUUUAACCUUUUCGAAAAUGAAAAUAAUAUUCAUAGUAUGUCCCCUUAACCCUAUUUAUAGUCAGAACGUAAUUUCAAAAAUUUGAAAGAGGGUUGUUAUGUUAUUAUUAUCGGUUCAGAUUACUUCACAACUAUUGAUUUGUUGUAGAAGAGUAGUAUAAAGAAAAUAUUUAAAUUCUUUCAGCUUAUAUAUAUAUAAUUUUAUUACUUGUUGGGCACUCAAAUGCUCAUCCUUGCUUAAUUUAAAUGAAGGGUCUGCUAGAAACAAGGGAAAGGGAAAGGUUGCUGAAUGAUUUCAAUGUUAUCUUAUGUAAUAGUUUAAUAUUAUUAAGAUAAUGUUAUAUAUUUUGUGAGACCCCGAAUUUUAUGAAAUAAAAGUAUUCAAUUUUUCUAUUUUGGUGAAUAGUUAAAUUGAUAAAAGUUUAAAGUUAAG
rnacentral:lncRNA from 1 species